rnacentral:rRNA from 1 species
GGGGAAUUGGAGACGCGAGGCUUUCUGUGAAGCCGGCCUGUGAGGGAUCCGGUGGAGAGAUCACUAGUGAGAAUGAUGACAUGAGUAGCGACAAAGAGUGUGAGAGACACUCUCGCCGAAAGUCCAAGGGUUCCUGCUUAAAGCUAAUCUGAGCAGGGUAAGCCGACCCCUAAGGCGAGGCCGAAAGGCGUAGUCGAUGGGAACCAGGUUAAUAUUCCUGGGCCAGGAGGAUGUGACGGAUCUCGAAGGUUGUUCCCUCUUAUCGGAUUGAGGGGGCUGCUUAGAGGUUCCUGGAAAUAGCCCUCCAUGAGAUCGUACCCUAAACCGACACAGGUGGACUGGUAGAGAAUACCAAGGCGCUUGAGAGAACGAUGUUGAAGGAACUCGGCAAAAUACCUCCGUAAGUUCGCGAGAAGGAGGCCCGGUACAAGAGUGCCGGGGGCACAAACCAGGGGGUGGCGACUGUUUAUUAAAAACACAGGGCUCUGCGAAGUCGCAAGACGACGU